GAUGAACGCUAGCGGCAGGCCUAAUACAUGCAAGUCGAGGGGUAGAAGAGGCUUGCUUCUUUGAGACCGGCGCACGGGUGCGUAACGCGUAUGCAACCUACCUUCAUCUGGGGGAUAGCCCGGAGAAAUCCGGAUUAAUACCGCAUAAAAUCACAGGAUGGCAUUAUCCAAUGAUCAAACAUUUAUGGGAUGGAGAUGGGCAUGCGUGUCAUUAGCUAGUUGGCGGGGUAACGGCCCACCAAGGCGACGAUGACUAGGGGAUCUGAGAGGAUGGCCCCCCACACUGGUACUGAGACACGGACCAGACUCCUACGGGAGGCAGCAGUAAGGAAUAUUGGUCAAUGGAGGCAACUCUGAACCAGCCAUGCCGCGUGCAGGAAGACUGCCCUAUGGGUUGUAAACUGCUUUUAUUCGGGAAUAAACCUUAUUACGUGUAAUAAGCUGAAUGUACCGAAAGAAUAAGGAUCGGCUAACUCCGUGCCAGCCGCCGCGGUAAAAC
rnacentral:rRNA from 1 species